UACGGAGGGCGCAAGCGUUGUCCGGAAUUAUUGGGCGUAAAGAGCUCGUAGGCGGUUUGUCGCGUCUGCUGUGAAAACUGGAGGCUCAACCUCCAGCCUGCAGUGGGUACGGGCAGACUAGAGUGCGGUAGGGGAGAUUGGAAUUCCUGGUGUAGCGGUGGAAUGCGCAGAUAUCAGGAGGAACACCGAUGGCGAAGGCAGAUCUCUGGGCCGUAACUGACGCUGAGGAGCGAAAGCAUGGGGAGCGAACAGG
rnacentral:rRNA from 1 species